CACACACACACACGCACACAGUCCUUCCUCAUUUCACACAGCAGAUUAGCAGUGACAUGAGGAGAUCAAGAAGCCCACCUCUGACACAACAGACAUCUAGAGGAAAAUGUUUAUUUUGCUGUUAGUUACAGCAGUGUUGGUGGACAGUGCAGAGGUGUAUGUGAUUAUGGAUCCAUCCCCAAGAACAGUGGAAGCCUUCCUUGGCUCUUCCCUCACCCUCAACUGCAGCUUUGAACUCCAGAAUGUAAAAAAGCAUCAUGUGAGUUGGUGUUUCAACAAAAAUGCUUCCAGAUCAGGCUGCACGUCUACAAAGCGAUCUGAUAGAUCUUCCCUUGUACAUGGAGAUACAAGAAAGGAUUAUUGUUUACUGACUCUUACUGACGUUACCUUCAAGGACAGUGGAUGGUACUAUUGCAAAGUGACAGUAGACAUACCUAUAUUACUAGAAGCAUGCAGCAAUGAAACACAAGUGAUUGUAUCAGCAAAGAACCAGAUGGAAAGUACAACCAGUUCUUUAAAAACGGAUAAACCAGGUGUGUGAAUGUAUGUGUGGAGAAAAAGACAAGAGUAGGGGUGUAAAGUUAGCAAUAUGUCAUCAUGUCAAAAUGAUAUGGGCUCAGAUAUCUCUUUUACAAUUCAUAACAUGGUCCAGUCCAAUUAGAAAAAUGAAUGCAAAAUGGACAAAGUCAAUAGACAAAUUGUGAAAAAAAAAAAAAAAAUACUGUCACCCACAUCUUCCUUCCACAGUGCCUCCCACAAACAGUGCCGACAAGGAAGUGGGACUUGCAGGCUGGAAGCUGUGGGUGGCUGUGGGAGUGGGGAGUCUCAUCCUGGUCAUCGUGUUCGCGAUGGUGGUCUGGACCUUGCACAGACGAAGACAUCACAGGGGCAGAGAGUAUCCGAUCUAUGCAAACACGCGAGCUAAAUGUGCGGGGAAACAGCCGUCUCCACGUCCAGGCACGCAAGCCGACGGCAAGAAUAUUCAUGCUUCUCACCUAAGGACUCCAACCCCUCAGAGAAACCACGAUUACCAAUGAAGUCCAAAGCAUCAAAGUGUCUGAGUGCUACAUUAUCACAUAUUUUACACUGUCAAUCAAUCGUGAUCAAGUUCUCAAAAGUGUAUGGCCUUCUUCUACCCAUUUGUAUACUAAUAGGCUAGCCUACUUGUUUAGCUGUCUGUUUUCCCUGCUUGAUGGCACACAUAGUAUGGAUAGAUCAGAUCAUUUAAAGCUGGCUGUUGUUAAAGCAUUAUUUCUUUGGUGAUUCCAUUUAGCUGCCGAAUUGUUUAAAUUUGUGUCGUUUGUAUAGAAUAGCCUACUUACAUCACAUGCCAUGUUCACAUUCUCUUUUAACCCAUAGCAUUUUUGAAACUUGUAAAUUCACAAUUAAACUAUGUUGGCAGGCAUAGCUGCCAACAUAGGUCCACGCAUAGCUGCAAACAUAGGUCCACGCAUAGCUGCAAACAUAGGCCCAUGCAUAGCAUGUAAGCCUAGGUCCAUGGGCCCAGUUUCCCAGACAUGGAGCCUAGUCCUAUACAAAACCUUUUAGAUGGAGAUCUUCAUUAAAUGUUUCUCUUACUUUAGGACUUGGCUUGAUGGAAAAACGGGCCCUGUAGUUUAAUAUCGUAGAUUUUCAAUGGGUAUAGUACCAGGGGUAAUUCUAGGAUCAGACCUUUAGGGGGGCUCAGGCUAGCCUGGUCCAGACUCUCGUACAUUUCAUUUGUACAGAGAG